rnacentral:rRNA from 1 species
ACCAGUUGUCACGCCAGUGGCACAGUUGGGCAACUAUGUGCGGAACGGAUAAACGCUGAAAGCAUCUAAGCGUGAAGCCGCCUCCGAGAUUAGAUAUCCCAUGGCGUAAGCCAGUAAGACCCCUUGUAGACUACAAGGUUGAUAGGCUGCGUGUGUAAGCACGGUAACGUGUUCAGCUUGGCAGUACUAAUAGGUCGAGGGCUUGACCAU